GCGCUGCGUCUUUGGCGCUGUGUGGACGCUUUGGGCAUUUUUUUUUUUUUUUUGUGGCCGCACUUUUAAGAAACUUCAGCAGAAUACGCAGCCGUUUUAGAUUGUUCUUUUAAUCUUAGUCCAUAUAUGUGCAUGUAUUUUUAUAGCACAGUCUCAUUUGGUGAUGAUAGAGAUGAACUCAACAAACAAACAAACAAACAAACAAAAACCUGCCAAGCAAGCAACGCGUUCCAGAAACCCAAGGUCCGAGCGCAAAGAUUUGUUUUCCUAACCGAAAGGAUUUCCACAAGUCGUCUCCACCUGGUCUCUAAUGUCGCGCUGUGAGGUUAAACACAAGUUUGUAUCCAGAGGAACUGAUUGGGUGAGCCUUCAUCCUGGUCAUCCUGGUCGUCUCUGCUCAGCUUCCUGUGUGAUCGCUUCAUUCGGUUUGCAGCAGAGGAAGUCUGAACGUGGAGCAGCUCAAGACGCCGCAUGCCUCCUCCGAUCUCUGAUUUCUCCCGUUGUCAUGGCGAAUCCACACAAACCAAACCCGGACUCACCGAGACGAUUAGUGCUCCGACCCUUACAGUCAAUGUCUGUCAGGGUUUUCUCUGCAGAGGAUGUGGCAGACUGGCUUGUUGAAGUUCUUUGUGAAAGCAGCAGCGUCCACGUGAGGGACGGCCGCGGUCUCUGCACGUAGCAGGAAGUCAGGCUGAAACCUCGAAGGAGAGCACGGUCAGGCGGCUAAAGUGGGAUCGUCACCGAACCAGACAUUUCUGGAGGAAUCAAAGGAAGUCAAAAUAAUCAGUUCCUCUCGGACAUCUGCCCCAAAGACCGGCAGAUUGAAGAAAAUCUGGAGUUCAUUUUCUAUUACUUAGACAAGAAGAACAAUCGGACUCAGUAACCGUCCUCUCCGGCUGCCGACAUCAGUCGGCUGCACACAGUCAAGAAAUGUUUGGACCUUCUGCUGUGUCUCCAAACAAAAUAAAACCUAAACCGUCUGCUGACAACCGCUGCAACUGAGAACGAGCUAAUCUCUCUGAAGGAGGAAGGAAGCGGAAAGCCGGAGGACGCUCCUGAGGUCGAGUGGAAAAAGCUGCAGGAGGCGGCAGGUCGCCCUGAGAGCUGCUAAUCAACACUAACACCUCAGCAGGAAGCAGCAGGGUCCCAAGAGAGGACGAUAAGGAGAUAUCUAGGAUAGGAACUGGAUGGGUGUGUAGACUUUCAUCAUCGUGACUGAAAAUUUUAAUCAAUUUGGCUGCCCCAACUGGAGACCCCUUUGUGGUGACGCAGAGACAGCAUGCUGGCUUUUGAGUUUAAGGAACUCUCCAAGCAUUUAUUGUAUCGUUUAUCAUUUGUCGUGAUAAAUUUCUUAGAAUGACUUUGAUUUAUUGUCACAAUAAAUUCUAAUUAUAUGAGCCGUUACUUUUAUUAUUAUUUGUUUUAUGAGAGUAGCAAUACAUAUCAAUAAAUUUCAAAACGUGA